rnacentral:rRNA from 1 species
CAGAACACCUCUCUCGCCGGUCCCUUCUUCCUCCUCGCCUCCUCUCCCCACUCACUGCCCCCCGAAGCGUAUAACGCCGUCCUCCCAUUCCUCUCCCACGACCUAGCGGCUCUCGACAAGGUCCUGGAAGAGAUGUCCCUCCUUGGCUACGGCCUUCCCAACCCGGCCUGCGCCACCCUCGUCGCCACCCUCGUCCGCUCCCGCCGCCUCGACGACGCCUUCCAUGCCAUUGGCACCAUGCGGCGGCUCAAGUUCAGGCCGGCGUUCUCUGCGUACACCGUGCUGAUUGGCGCUCUGUCUGAGGCGCGGCAGCCCGAGCGUGCGCUGGAACUGCUGCGGCAGAUGCAAGAGGUUGGGUAUGAGGUGGGCGUGCCUCUUUUCACGACGUUGGUGCGGACCCUGGCCCGCGAGGGAAGAGUGGAGGGCGCGUUGGUGCUUGUGGAUGAGGUGAAGGGGAGAUGCCUUGAGCCAGAUAUUGUGUUGUACAAUGUGUGUAUUGAUUGUUUUGGAAAGGCUGGGAAUGUGGACAUGGCCUGGAAGUUCUUUCAUGAGCUGAGAGCCCAGGGUCUGCAGCCAGAUGAUGUAUCAUACACAAGCAUGAUCUGGGUGCUUUGCAAGGCAGGGAGACUAGGUGAGGCAGAGGAGUUAUUUGGGCAGAUGGAGGUGGAAAGGGCUGUGCCUUGUGCUUAUGCAUAUAAUACUAUGAUCAUGGGAUAUGGGUCAGCUGACCGGUUUGAUGAUGCUUACAAGCUGCUUGAGCGGUUGAGGGAGAGGGGCUGUAUUCCAUCUGUCAUUUCAUUUAAUUCAAUUAUCACGUGCCUCGGGAAGAAGAGGAGGGUUGAUGAGGCACUGAGAUUGCUUGAUGUCAUGAAGAAGGAUGCUAAGCCAAAUACCUCGACGUAUAACAUCAUUAUUGAUAUGUUGUGCAUGGCUGGGAGGGUUAAUGAAGCAUAUAAGAUACGUGAUGAAAUGGAACUUGAUGGUCUGUAUCCAAACUUAAUGACGGUUAACAUAAUGGUGGAUAGGCUGUGCAAGGCAAAGCUGCUCGAUGAGGCCCAUACAAUAUUUGAAAGCGCCAGUCAGAGAGGUUGCAAUCCUGAUUCUGUGACGUACUGUUCCCUUAUGGAUGGCCUUGGAAAGAAGGGAAAGAUUGAUGAGGCCUAUAGGCUAUUCGAGAAAAUGUUGGAUGCAGGCCACAAUGGUAAUCCUGUGUUAUAUACUUCCUUGAUCAGGAAUUGCUUUCUGCAUGGAAGGAAAGAAGAUGGGCACAAGAUCUUCAAAGAGAUGAUCCGUCGAGGAUGCAAGCCUGAUCUCAUCCUACUUAACACAUAUAUGGAUUGUGUUUUCAAAGCAGGUGAGAUUGAAAAGGGAAGAACAAUUUUUGAGGGCAUCAAGAGUUAUGGGUUUCUUCCUGAUGUUCGAAGUUACUCCAUUUUGAUUCAUGGUCUCACAAAAGCUGGUCAGGCUAGAGAAACGUCCAAUAUUUUUCACGCAAUGAGUCAGCAAGGUUUUGCACUUGAUGCUCGGGCUUACAAUGCUGUUAUUGAUGGGUUAUGCAAAUCUGGAAAGGUAGACAGGGCCUAUGAAGUUCUCGAGGAGAUGAAGCUAAAACAUAUCUCUCCAACGGUUGCUACAUAUGGAUCCAUUAUUGAUGGUCUGGCCAAGAUUGAUAGGUUAGAUGAGGCUUACAUGCUUUCUGAAGAAGCAAAAUCGAAAGGAAUAGAAUUGAAUAUUAUUUUGUAUAGUUCUCUCAUAGAUGGCUUUGGGAAGGCUGGCAGGAUAGAUGAAGCUUAUUUAAUUUUAGAAGAGAUGCUGAAGAAGGGUCUGAUUCCAAAUGCUUAUACAUGGAAUAGUCUCAUGGAUGCUUUAGUGAAAGCUGAAGAAAUCAACGAGGCCCUUAUUUGUUUCCAGUCAAUGAAGGAAAUGAAAUGUCCACCAAAUACCUAUACAUACAGCAUUCUUAUAAAUGGCCUUUGCCGGGUACAGAAGUACAACAAGGCUUUUCUGUUCUGGCAAGAAAUGCAGAAACAAGGUUUGAUCCCAAACGUUGUCACUUACACAACCAUGAUCUCCGGGCUUGCAAAGGGAGGGAACAUAACAGAUGCUUACAACCUAUUUGUGGGGUUCAAAACCAAUGGUGGAGUGCCUGACUCUGCAUGUUUCAAUGCUCUCAUAGAGGGUAUGAGCAAUGCAAACAGAGCAAUGGAGGCGUAUCACAUAUUUGAAGAAACUCGUCUAAGGGCAUGUAGAGUCAAUGUGACGACAUGCAUCAGUCUUUUAGACGCUUUGAACAAGUCUGAAUGUCUCGAGCAAGCUGCGGUCGUUGGUGCAGUUCUGAAUGAGAUUUCCAAAUCCCAGCAUGCUUCUAGAUCCUUGUAA